rnacentral:rRNA from 1 species
UAAAGGAACUCGGCAAACUGUCUUCAUAAGUUAGACGAUAUGAAGAACCACUAGAUGCUAUUACUCCGUCCCCAAAGGGGCUUGUUUUAUAUAAGGUUAGUCUUAAUAAAAUAGAGAUUUCAUAAAUUUAGCACAAGUUAAGUUUAUAUAAGGAAGUGUAGAACCUCCCCUAUUAGCUGUAGGGCAACUUAUAACUAUAGGCUAGGUUGCUUUGUGAAUUACUAUAUUGGUAAUCCAGGGCGCUUAAUAGUAUUUAAGUGGUGGCACAGAAUCGGAGGCCCCGACUGCUUUACCUAAAACACAGCUUUCUGCGACGAAUAAUAUCUUUGUAUAGAACACGCGAAUUUUGCCCAAUGCCAUUAAUAUAAGGUCGAUAAGCGCUUAGCGUAAUUAUUGGCUGAAGUUCUGGUCAAAUGGCGGUCUUAAUCUAUGAGGAUCUAACGGUAGCUAAAUUAAUUCGUACCACUAGAAUGUAGGUCCUCGCACAUGACUGAAUUGUCUACCU